rnacentral:rRNA from 1 species
UACGAAGGGGGCUAGCGUUGUUCGGAAUUACUGGGCGUAAAGCGCGCGCAGGCGGCCAUUCAAGUCAGGGGUGAAAGCCCAGAGCUCAACUCUGGAACUGCCUUUGAAACUGUAUGGCUUGAGUAUGAGAGAGGUGAGUGGAAUUCCCAGUGUAGAGGUGAAAUUCGUAGAUAUUGGGAAGAACACCGGUGGCGAAGGCGGCUCACUGGCUCAUUACUGACGCUCAGGCGCGACAGCGUGGGGAUCAAACAGG